rnacentral:rRNA from 1 species
GAUGAACGCUAGCGGCAGGCUUAAUACAUGCAAGUCGAGGGGCAUCAAGGUACACGAAAGUGUAUUGUUGGCGACCGGCGGACGGGUGAGUAAUAGGUAGGUAACCUACCUCAUACUGAGGCAUAGCUGGGAGAAAUUCCAGGUAAUUCCUCAUGAGGUUAUAUGACACAUGUGAUAUAAUCAAAGGUAUCGCAAGGUACUGGUAUGAGAUGGGCUUACUGACCAUUAGCUAGUUGGUGAGAUAAGAGCUCACCAAGGCGAAGAUGGUUAGGGGUUUUGAGAGAGAGACUCCCCACAUUGGAACUGAGAUACGGUCCAGACUCCUACGGGAGGCAGCAGUAGGGAAUAUUGGGCAAUGGGCGGAAGCCUGACCCAGCCAUGCCGCGUGAAGGAAGACGGCCUUAUGGGUUGUAAACUUCUUUACUAUGCGACUAACUAGAUUUACGAGAUAAUUCUAUAGAAUGUAGCAUAGACAAAAAGCACCGGA